UUGUCCCAACCCUGGCACCCCCUCUUGCCUGUGCUCAGUUGCCACAGGGGAGUCCGGCAGGACACACAGAACUCUCUCUCAUAAGAUCAUU